GCAUAAUGGCUAACCAGUGGCUAAAGUAGAUAGUCUGCUUCGGAUGCGGGAGGUUGCGGGUUCAAACCCCGGCCGAGUUAUACCA